GGAUAUUUUGAAGCUGUAUGAGAUCCUUUUCAAUAUUAUGCUUAACAAGCAUCUUCUACUAUUUAUUGCACAUCGAAGUACAUGAGACACUGUCAAUAGACCAACUGUAGAAUUUGUGGCUCUUGGACACUCCCUGUCCUGUUUCUGCUUAGAAAAACUUAACCCAUCCUUGAAGGCACAGUGGAAAAGUCUCCUUGACUGACAUCUUCCACCUCUUCAUCUACAAGAAGGAUUUUCUACAUCGUCUGUGUGUUCUGGUUUCCCUGCCCUGAAAUAACAAGAAUAUUCUUUGGUUUGCAAAUGCCCCAUGUUAUAUAACUUUCCAAAGUACUCAAUUUGAACAAAGAAGAGUCGGUUCCAGUCUGAUAUUUGCCCGCUAAGAGGACCCAUAUUCUAUCUGGAUUAUAUCAUCAUCUACCAAUGCACCAUCAGAAUUCCUUUUUGGGGAAUACGCUAGAGGCCAACCAGAUGCACACAUCCAUAGCAUUUAAGUUUUUAAUGUCUAGAAGACAUUUAGCCUGUUCAAUAUUACUUUAUUGAGGUGUGACUAUUUUUGUUCCUAUUACCUGGUUUUCUAACUAUAGUGUAUGUAUUACUGAAAACUUUGAAUCAGCAUAUAGCUCAUGCUUUGUUGGAAGUAGAACAUCCAGUCUCCCAAGUGGAUUUCUUCUUCUUUCUGCCCCCAUCUACUCAGAUAUUAACCCAACAGAGUACAAUUUUGAUGGGCCCUUGAGCUCUUGGCCAAGUUCAAAUACUGGUUGUUAUAAGUUUCCCUAGGAAUGAAUCACUGAAGAAUCCUCCAGGGAGAAUUCUUUUAGGGAGGAAGAUUCUCCUCAGGAACUAGGUCUCUAAUACAAUGGUUAUUUUUUACUUCUGUGUUUUUGCUAUCUUUCAGAGACCUUUAUAUAUGAGCUCACUGGCCAUCAU